rnacentral:rRNA from 1 species
UACGUAGGGUGCAAGCGUUAAUCGGAAUUACUGGGCGUAAAGCGCGCGUAGGCGGCUUUUCAAGUCGAUUGUGAAAUCCCCGGGCUUAACCUGGGAACUGCAGUCGAGACUGUCUAGCUAGAGUAUGGGAGAGGGAAGUGGAAUUUCAGGUGUAGCGGUGAAAUGCGUAGAUAUCGAGAGGAACACCUGCGGCGAAGGCGGGUUGCUGGGCUGACACUGACGCUGAAGUGCGAAAGCUAGGGGAGCGAACGGG